AUGUACAAAAGGAUUUCAGAGUGAGCACCUGCGGAGAACACAACUCACUCCCUAACACAGGAAGCUUACCCUUCCAACUGGGCCAAUCCAUGGCAUUAGAAACCAUGUACCUUUAGCAAUAAUUAUUGUACCUCCAUGGAUCUCCUCCAAUGCUCCACCAUCCUGUUCCCUAAAACUCAACUCAAUCGUCUCUUCCGCACACCACUUGGCCCAUGCUUCGCUGCCAUGAGGUCAAGUUUGAGCCUUCCAUUUCCCGGACAGAAAGCAAAAUACUUUAAAGAGCUGGAAGCUGCUGUUGAUGUUGUUGAGCGAGCUUGUCGUCUCUGCAUUGAUGUGAAGAGUUUGCUGUUCUCCAAUGAUGAUAGGAUUAUUGAGAAAAAUGACCAAACCCCAGUCACUAUUGCAGAUUUCGGUGUGCAGGCUUUGGUCAGCUUGGAGAUGAACAGACUCUUCCCAUCCAUUCCCUUGGUGGCUGAAGAGGACUCAUCAUUCUUGCGGUCAACUAAUCUAGUUGGAUCAGUGGUUGAUGUGGUCGCGAAUAAAGCAACUUUUAGAGACGAAGUAACAGAAGACAAUGUCUUGAAAGCAAUUGACAGAGGGGGAAAGGAUGCUUGUAAGUUUGGGCCUAACCCAGCUACAUACUGGGUACUAGAUCCCAUUGAUGGGACACGAGGGUUUGUUAGAGGCGUUGAAGCUCUUUAUGUGGUGGCUUUGGCUCUUGUGGUUGAUGGACAGAUUGUCUUGGGAGUUACGGGGUGCCCUAACUGGGAUGAAGACUAUUUUGUUAAUUGUGUCACUGGGGUCCAAGAAACUGGAAACAAUUUUUCUAGAUCAGGGAUGAUCAUGGUUUCUCAUGUGGGUUGUGGAACGUGGAAACAAAGGUUGUCGGACAUGUUAACCAUCGAGUUGCCUCAAAGUUGGACAAGAUGCUCCGUUGAUGGAUGCCAAGUACUUGAGGAGGCACGUUUUUGUACUCCAGAAAGUCAAAAGUGGGAAUCAUUUCCUCUAUCAUCCUCAUUUAAUGCAAAAACAAACUCUGAAAAAAUAGGGAAAAGAGACAUCCUUCUUGUGCCUGCAUGCUGUGGAAGUUUGUGCAAAUAUAUGAUGGUGGCUUCUGGUAGAGCAUCUGUGUUUCUUCUUCGUGCAACAACCAGAAAAGUUAUGAAGCAUUCUGAUAUGAACAUAUGACUCCACUGAAGAAAAUCUCUGGCUAUGCCCCUGCUUGGGACCAUGCUGCUGGAAUCAUAUGUGUUCAUGAAGCUGGGGGAAAGGGGCAUGCUCAAAGCUAGACAUUUGGAGCGUAGACAAUAUAAAUGGGGGCCCAACAUCGGGUAAACAAAGAAUUGAGAUGGCUCUGGCUUGGCUACUAUGAUAAGAAAAUGGACCUUGGUCUAACUCAACCCCAAAAGCUAGCUCAAGAGUUGAAGAUUGCCCAAGACCCUGUUAUAAAGAGACAAUUAAUCCAUCACUAACCGAUUUGGGAGAUUCAACACUUUGGUAUCUCCUUUGAUAUGAUAAUGAAUAUGUGCUACCUCAUAAAAAAUCUCUUCUGUUAAUCCUCUAAGUUCGCUUAUAGCCCCAGAGAAGCAAUAGCUACAUAAAAUACCAUGUGAUCUAUCAUGCGAUCUAUUAUUUUUUCAUUCUUUAGAUGACUCUAUAUACUAGUAUCAAGCUUUUCCGUGGGCGUGUUACUAUAAGAUGUAUCCUGUUUGCAACGUUGUUCAUUUGGCACAGUAGGAUGUAAAGUGAGGGAAAUUUUCUGAGCGCUUUGAUUUCUUCCUUGAUUCUUCUUGUUGUAAAGGUUUUAUUAAUUAAUCCUUUUCCUUUCUACUUGAGGGAAAA